rnacentral:rRNA from 1 species
UACGAAGGGGGCUAGCGUUACUCGGAAUUACUGGGCGUAAAGGGCGCGUAGGCGGCGUUCCAAGUUAGGCGUGAAAGUCCUGGGCUCAACCUGGGAACUGCGCUUAAGACUGGAGUGCUAGAGGAUGGAAGAGGGUCGUGGAAUUCCCAGUGUAGAGGUGAAAUUCGUAGAUAUUGGGAAGAACACCGGUGGCGAAGGCGGCGACCUGGUCCAUUACUGACGCUGAGGCGCGACAGCGUGGGGAGCAAACAGG